AGGGGCAGCGGUGGUGAAGGCUUGCCUUUACCAGCCGGCGACCGGCGCACGGGUGAGUAACACGUAUGCAACCUGCCUGCCACAGCCGGAUAAUCGGGAGAAAUUCCGUCUAAUACGGCAUAAUGCACCUAUGGGACAUCCUGUUGGUGCCAAAGGUUGAUUCCGGUGGCGGAUGGGCAUGCGUCGCAUUAGUUAGUUGGCGGUGUAACGGACCACCAAGACGACGAUGCGUAGGGGUUCUGAGAGGAAGGUCCCCCACACUGGUACUGAGACACGGACCAGACUCCUACGGGAGGCAGCAGUGAGGAAUAUUGGUCAAUGGGCGGGAGCCUGAACCAGCCAAGUCGCGUGAGGGAUGACGGCCCUAUGGGUUGUAAACCUCUUUUGCCGGGGAGCAAAGUGCCGCACGUGUGCGGUUUGGAGAGUACCCGGAGAAAAAGCAUCGGCUAACUCCGUGCCAGCAGCCGCGGUAAUACGGAGGAUGCGAGCGUUAUCCGGAUUUAUUGGGUUUAAAGGGUGCGUAGGCGGACGCUUAAGUCAGCGGUAAAAUUGCGGGGCUCAACCUCGUCGAGCCGUUGAAACUGGGUGCCUUGAGUGGGCGAGAAGUACGCGGAAUGCGUGGUGUAGCGGUGAAAUGCAUAGAUAUCACGAAGAACUCCGAUUGCGAAGGCAGCGUACCGGCGCCCAACUGACGCUGAAGCACGAAGGCGUGGGUAUCGAACAGGAUUAGAUACCCUGGUAGUCCACGCAGUAAACGAUGAAUGCUAGUUGUCCGGGGCGAUUGAGUUCUGGGUGACACAGCGAAAGCGUUAAGCAUUCCACCUGGGGAGUACGCCGGCAACGGUGAAACUCAAAGGAAUUGACGGGGGCCCGCACAAGCGGAGGAACAUGUGGUUUAAUUCGAUGAUACGCGAGGAACCUUACCCGGGCUCAAACGCAGGAGGGAUGUUUUUGAAAGGAGGCAGCCAGCAAUGGUCUCCUGCGAGGUGCUGCAUGGUUGUCGUCAGCUCGUGCCGUGAGGUGUCGGCUUAAGUGCCAUAACGAGCGCAACCCCUACCUACAGUUGCCAUCGCGUGAUGGCGGGCACUCUGUGGGGACUGCCUGCGCAAGCAGUGAGGAAGGCGGGGAUGACGUCAAAUCAGCACGGCCCUUACGUCCGGGGCGACACACGUGUUACAAUGGCAGGUACAGCGGGAAGCCACCCGGCGACGGGGCGCGGAACCCGAAAACCUGUCUCAGUUCGGAUUGGAGUCUGCAACCCGACUCCAUGAAGCUGGAUUCGCUAGUAAU
rnacentral:rRNA from 1 species